rnacentral:lncRNA from 1 species
CAACAAAUGCCAAAAAGUGAAAAGUUUAGUACAUGAGCCGCUCCUUUCAGAACAAAGAUUUAAGGACCAAGCAAUACUUACUAAAGGAGUCAUAUAAAGAUGGCUCUACCCGUAAAUGACAAACGCUUAUCUCUAUCCUCAUUGCUCAUCAUUUCACUUUCCCAUUUUCUUGCCCUUUUCAAAUAACAAAAUUGUUACAAUGGCAGAAAGGAAUUGGAGAAAAAAAUUCAUGAUGCAACGAGAUC